rnacentral:rRNA from 1 species
CAAGUCGAGCGAACAGACGAGGAGCUUGCUCCUCUGACGUUAGCGGCGGACGGGUGAGUAACACGUGGAUAACCUACCUAUAAGACUGGGAUAACUUCGGGAAACCGGAGCUAAUACCGGAUAAUAUAUUGAACCGCAUGGUUCAAUAGUGAAAGACGGUUUUGCUGUCACUUAUAGAUGGAUCCGCGCCGCAUUAGCUAGUUGGUAAGGUAACGGCUUACCAAGGCAACGAUGCGUAGCCGACCUGAGAGGGUGAUCGGCCACACUGGAACUGAGACACGGUCCAGACUCCUACGGGAGGCAGCAGUAGGGAAUCUUCCGCAAUGGGCGAAAGCCUGACGGAGCAACGCCGCGUGAGUGAUGAAGGUCUUCGGAUCGUAAAACUCUGUUAUUAGGGAAGAACAAAUGUGUAAGUAACUAUGCACGUCUUGACGGUACCUAA